CUUCUUUACCGAAGACUGCAGCAUAAAUAUAUAGCUAUUAAGGCGAUGAAGAAAAAAUUGCGUUAAAUUUAAAAAUCUGAUAAAUAAAAUAUUAAUAAAAUUUAUUUUGUUAUUUUUUUAUUUUGAGAUGAUAAAACGUAAGAUAGCAGAGCCUUUU